rfam:Chlorobi bacterium OLB4 TZ04_CHB001CONTIG000023, whole genome shotgun sequence.
UUAUUAUGGAGUUCAGAAACCAUUUAAAACGAAGCGAAACCGAAAAGCUAUACGAGUAGGAAAAUU